rnacentral:misc_RNA from 1 species
AAAAAAUAAAAAAAAAAAGUAUACUGCAUAUGUAAUUGAACUUGAUGUUGUAAACUUGUAAUAGCACACUAACAGGAUUUCAGGUGUCUUCUUUGUCUAUGCAAGUGAACUGUGAAUGAAUACAAAUUAUCAAAUGGAGAAACUUCAACAGCGCAAAUCUCUUCAAAGAAAAUCCUAUUGAACAUCUUUGCAUAGUUUAAAAUAUCUCCUAUAGAUGUAUAACCCUCUGGCCUCUACUAGAUUGCAUUUGCAAAUUACUAUACAUCACAACAGUAGCAUAUAUCUGCUUAAACCAUCUUGUGAUCUUCUUGAGUAAAGUAGACAUUAUAAUUAAUUAAUCCAACCUUCAUAAGGGAUUUUACACCACUUUAGAAUGUAUGCACCCUUAGCUGUGCUAAUGUUUACAACUGUCUAUAUGGCAUUUAACCAACUUAUUAGAAACCAAAUAAUUGUAGGACAUUCAUGUGUGAUAUGUCAACUAAAUCCAUGUUGGUCAAUUCACUAGCAUUACAUAAAAAUUGGAUUGUAAAAAAUAAGCAUGGAUUGCAUGAAUAUUUAUAUUAAAUGGAAAAGAUGACCAAAACACCAACCCUAUAAAGCAUAAAACAAAAAUGAAAUUUACAGUUAUAGUUUUUGAAGACAAGUGUUGAUAACUUUAGUGCCUAUCAUAUCAACUUGAUUUCAGCAAGUUGGUGUCAUGUAGCAAAAAGUUAGUUUGCCUGACCAUUUGUUAAACACACCUCAAGUUUGCUUGUCGGGCCAGACUAGGGAAUCUUUAUUAUUAAAAUCAUCAAAGGAUGAUGGUCUUCAUAAAACUAUUCAAGCAGCAAGUGUGAAAUUAUUGCGGGGUCACCGUCAAAGUCCUCAGUGUAACCACAAGGAUGCAGGUUCAAGUCUUGAGAGCAAUCACUUUAAAAAUAUCAAAGGUUAGGACAUGCUUCAAACUUUUUGAGGGCCCCACAUCAGAGGCCAAAACUAGAAUACUAGAUGCAGGCCUUCGCAACAGCAAUCGCAAACUAGCUAGAUUCCUAAGUUACAAGUUGAACAUAAAAUUUAUCUGUCAAUACCUAAUCCUUCACUCUAGCUUCUGACAAUAAACCUAUGCUUCUAAGACUCGCAUCCAGCAGAUACCAAAAAUCAGAAAUGUUUUAAU